UGAUGUGGUUUGAUUUAAGACACCUCGAGAUUUAUUUUGUGGUGUACCAUAAACAAACAAGUUUUUUUUUUUCUUCCAAGAUUUAUGGAAGGACAUGUAGGAAAUUCUAAGGGCUAAGUUUACUACUAUAAAGGAAGAGCCAGAAAAUUGUGAAGAGAAUCAAAUUACAUCACCAAGACAAAUGAGGAUUGCCAAGAAGCAAUUGAAGAAGACUAAGAAUAUUAAACAGUCUUAUGAUCUGUUUAUUAAUGGGUUUAUUUCAUAAUCCAAUUUUGGUGGGUUUCUUCAACACUAGCUUCAUAUAAUUUCUAUUAAUGAUAUUGAUUUCUGAGUGGUCCAAUUUCAAUUUAUGAUGUAAUUCUGUGUGUAGUGUGUGGGCAGUACUAUUAUGUAUUUGCUUCCCUAAUAUAACUGAUGUCACUUAAUAUUGGUAUGUAAUCAUGUGUUGGAUCGUUUUCUCGUUUUGGUCUAUGUUUUCUCA